UGGGGAAUAUUGCACAAUGGGCGAAAGCCUGAUGCAGCAACGCCGCGUGAGUGAUGAAGGUCUUCGGAUUGUAAAGCUCUGUCUUUUGGGACGAUAAAUGACGGUACCAAAGGAGGAAGCCACGGCUAACUACGUGCCAGCAGCCGCGGUAAUACGUAGGUGGCGAGCGUUGUCCGGAUUUACUGGGCGUAAAGGGUGCGUAGGCGGAUGUUUAAGUGAGAUGUGAAAUACCCGGGCU
rnacentral:rRNA from 1 species